GUGUGUGUGUAUAGAGAGCAAAUACAGAUUGAUAUACUAGCAAUUAUGAAAAGGGUGCUUUAGUUGAAGUGGUGAGAGGUGAGUAGUGUUUGAGUUUGAGGACUUUAGGAGAAAGGGAUUGAUCAAACAACGCAGAGAGAGAGAGAGAGAGAGAGAAAGAGAUGAAUUGGUGAAUUGGUGUUGGUUCAAUAUGGAACAAAGUGAGGGGAAGACAUGAGGUUGACUAAUGACUAGGCUGUGUGUGAAGGAGAGGGAGAGAGAAAGACAGGUGUGG
rnacentral:lncRNA from 1 species